GUGACGUCCUCGCAUGAUCAGCCAAUCCCGCGCCGCCCUCGUGUUUACAGGCUGAUUUCCGCGCAUGCGCUCUAGCAUGUAAAUAACAGCAACCGCGGUGGUUUGUUUGGUGUCGCACAGGCUCAUCAAAUAGACGAAUAAUCGGUUUAUAUUUACAGAGAACGCCAUUAUAUCUGCUACGUUCAUGAAAUGUAGCAUGACACAGCAGGUUGUUGAUCAGAGAAACACAGCUGAACCAGGAGCGAAUGCUGCUCAAUAACACACUCAAACAUUCAAGACCAUUAUUCAAGACCAUUCAUCAGCUGUGGGAUUCGCAGAAAUGCUUACAGAAAACAGGAAACGUCAGCGCGCUGAAGGUGAUGAUGAAGAUGCUCAGAUGCCUCAGGCCAAACGACUGAGUUCAGCUCUCCAGAGCUCAGAGACGGGUAGAGAAUCAUGGGAGUCUGAGUCUUCCAGUAGCGAGAGCAGUUGGAUCAGCAGUCCGGAUCACGCCGCAGGGAGCAGCAGCAGUAGCCAUUGUGGAGUGGAUGUUAUAGGGCCCCACAGCGGCCCCGGCCCCUGCAGUCCCCACAGUGCCUCUAAGCAGCCGGACCCCAUGGACCUGCUGUCCUACCAGCACAUCAACCGUGUCCUGAGGGAAGCCCAUUUCCAAAGCUUACAGAGCCGAGCUCAGUCCAAGCACAGUGGCUCAGAGGUUCUGCCGGAUCUCUUGCCUCCCAACCAUCACUGAAGCUGGUUGCUCAUCCAGGCAUCAGACCUUCGAAGCCCUGCGGAGGUUUUCUUGUGUGCUAUUCAAAUUCUGCAUUUUAAAGAUUGUUGUUUAUUUUACUAUACCUUUUUGUAUUGAAAGAUGUACAUUGCAUUUUACAUUCAGAUCAUCUACAUUUCUAAAUAAAGAUGGAUGUUCUUAAGCA
ensembl:lncRNA